rnacentral:lncRNA from 1 species
AGCUAAUAGUGAUCCUUUACAAGGAUAAGAAUUCCUAGUUUUUAUACUGCUAAUGAACAUUUAUUGAUUGCAAACUUCUCAGCUAGAGGGAAUGAUUUUAACUUAUGUGGAGCACAAGUACUGAGAUCUGAGUUUGUUACACGCAAAGACCUGCUACAACCCUUGCGGCUCAUGAUGACUGGAUGCUGCGGGCCGGUAGGGAGACUGAGUUGGUCCCAACUUCGUAAAGCUG